AUGUAUGUAUGUGUGUAUGUAUGUAUGUGUGUAUGUAUGCAUGCGUGUAUGUAUGAUGUAUGUAUGCAUGUAUGUAUGUAUG
ensembl:miRNA Gm23989 predicted gene, 23989